rnacentral:rRNA from 1 species
UGGCGAAGGCGGGACUCUGGGCUGUAACUGACACUGAGGAGCGAAAGCAUGGAGAGCGAACAGGAUUAGAUACCCUGGUAGUCCAUGCUGUAAACGUUGGGCACGAGGUGUGGGGGACAUUCCACGUUCUCCGCGCUCGUAGCUAACGCAUUAAGUGCCCCGCCUGGGGAGUACGUGUGCCAGGAUCAAACUCAAAGGAAUUGACGGGGGCCCGCACAAGCGGCGGAGCAUGCGGAUUAAUUCGAUGCAACGCGAAGAACCUUACCAAGGCUUGACAUACGCUGGACCGUUCUGGAAACAGUUCUUCUCUUUGGAGCUGGUGUACAGGUGGUGCAUGGUUGUCGUCAGCUCGUGUCGUGAGAUGUUGGGUUAAGUCCCGCAACGAGCGCAACCCUCGUUCUAUGUUGCCAGCACGUGAUGGUGGGAACUCAUAGGAGACUGCCGGGGUCAACUCGGAGGAAGGUGGGGAUGACGUCAAAUCAUCAUGCCCUUUAUGUCUUGGGCUUCACGCAUGCUACAAUGGCUGGUACAGAGAGAGGCGAACCCGUGAGGGUAAGCGAAUCCCUUAAAGCCAGUCUCAGUUCGGAUCGUAGUCUGCAAUUCGACUACGUGAAGUCGGAGUCGCUAGUAAUCGCAGAUCAGCAACGCUGCGGUGAAUACGUUCCCGGGCCUUGUACACACCGCCCGUCAAGUCACGAAAGUCGGUAACACCCGAAGCCGGUGUCCCAACCCACUUGUGGGAGGGGGCCG